AUUGAACGCUGGCGGCAUGCCUAACACAUGCAAGUCGAACGGGAGUAGCAAUACUCUAGUGGCGGACGGGUGAGUAAAGCGUAGGGAUCUACCUAUCAGCGGGGGACAACCUGGGGAAACUCAGGCUAAUACCGCAUACGCUCGCGAGAGGAAAGCGUGGGAUUUACGGACCACGCACUGAUAGCUGAACCUACGUCCGAUUAGCUAGUUGGUGGGGUAAAGGCCUACCAAGGCGACGAUCGGUAGCUGGUCUGAGAGGACGAUCAGCCACACUGGGACUGAGACACGGCCCAGACUCCUGCGGGAGGCAGCAGUGGGGAAUAUUGGACAAUGGGCGCAAGCCUGAUCCAGCAAUGCCGCGUGGGUGAAGAAGGCCUGCGGGUUGUAAAGCCCUUUAAGUGAGGAAGAAGGCCGUAGGGUUAAUAGCGCUGCGGAUUGACAUUACUCACAGAAUAAGCACCGGCUAACUCCGUG
rnacentral:rRNA from 1 species